ensembl:lncRNA
CACCUGCCCAGCCCAAGACUGGGGGGCCUGAGGAUGCCCAGUGAUGCUGGCAGGGCAUGUGACCGUGGGUGCCCAGCAGGGCCAGGACCACCCUUGUGCUUCUCGUGCAGCAGACAGCAGAGCUCCCACGCGAGGGCAAACCACAAUCCACAGGGGAGGAAGAGCGUGCCAGGGUCAGGAGCCCAGCAGCGUGGCCCAUGGCGGCUCAACUGGGCUGCUCUUGAGGAGCCUGAGACGGUUCUUUCCAAUUGUAUACUCAGAGCUGAGGAGACACCCGCACACCCAGCAGACUCAUACGGUGACUGCGCCCAAAGACCCAGAGACUUCAGCCUGCAGCUCUCUCAUCAGCUGCCCCCUGCUAGACCCAGGAAGGCCCUCCCCGCCCUGCCGGCAGCCCCGUGCUCUGUGCAGGUCCUUGCUUUGCUGGAGGGUCUGCGGGGCACCUGCCUCCUUCACAGCUGCCACACCCGGCUGCUCCUACUCCACUCAGAGGCCACAGCACCACACAACCCCGCAGCCCCCAAACUUGGCCGCUGUUUUUACCCUGGGGCCAGAAGCGGGAGAGCUGGUUUGCCAGCAGAGAAGAUAAAAUGAGAUCUGAGGCCAAAAGGUGGUUUCUCCAAGGUUCAAGAUGUCAUUCACGAGCCAUUUCUGGCUCUUCUCUGAGGUCUGACCCCCACACCCCACCCCUGCCCUGAGGCCCCAUGAGGUGGCCUUAGUCAAGCCCCCGGCUAAGCCAGCAGGACCAGAGCCCUGUUGAGAGCACAGCUGCUCUCGGGGUUCCUCAGGUGGAGGCGAGCACCUCUCACAUCAGCCCACAAACCCACCAGUCCUUCAAAACUGACCUGGUCUCACUCGGGGCAGUGCAGUUCUGAAGCCCAGCUGCCUGGGUCUGAACUGGACCUGUGACCACCUGCAUGACCCUGGACAUGAUGGCUGCACAGAAGGGCUCACUGCAGGCCUGGGAGGCUGCUGACAGGCUGGCCCUCAGCUGGUGCCUAGGACCUGGGCUGGGGAGGCUCCUGCCAACAUCAAGUGGUAGGAAUGGCCCCUGGCGCCCACACCUGCUUUCCUCUGGGAGUCAGGAAUUUGGGUCUGUGCCAGGCAGACUGCCUGUGUGACUGGCCCUCCACAGAGACCCGGGACACUGUCUCUGAGGCGCGCCCACAUGGCCGUGUG